ACUCAAAUGAAUAGACGGGAGAGCGCACAACCAGUGGAGCAUGUGGUUCAAUUCGAGACAAAACGAAGAACCUUACCCGGGUUUGACAUGUUAUCGUGUUAGGUCACUAGAAAUAGAGACUGAUCUUUGUGAAAACAUAGAUGAUAACACAGGUGUUGCAUGGCUGUCGUCAGCUCGUGCCGUGGGGUGUUCCCUUCAGUGGGGUAACGAGCGCAACCCCUGUCCCAAUUUAAAUAUCAUUGGGAGACUUUUCAUCCUUGUGAUGGAAGGAAGUGGGGAUGAUGUCAAGUCAGCAUGGCCCUUAUGUCCGGGGCUACACACAUGCUACAAUGGGGCCGACAAUGGGUUGCCAAGCCGUAAGGCGGAGCUAAUCCCAUCAAACGGCCUCUCAGUGGGGAUUGAGGGCUGCAACUUGCCCUCAUGAACGCGGAAUUGGUAGUAAUCGGAGGUCAGCUAUACUUCGGUGAAUACGUUCUCGCUCUUUGUACACACCGCCCGU
rnacentral:rRNA from 1 species